UAUGAAGGGUGCAAGCGUUACUCGGAAUUACUGGGCGUAAAGGGUGCGUAGGUGGUUGUUUAAGUCUGUUGUGAAAGCCCCGGGCUCAACCUGGGAAUGGCAAUGGAUACUGGACAGCUAGAGUGCGGUAGAGGGUAGUGGAAUUCCCGGUGUAGCAGUGAAAUGCGUAGAGAUCGGGAGGAACACCAGUGGCGAAGGCGGCUACCUGGACCAGCACUGACACUGAAGCACGAAAGCGUGGGGAGCAAACAGG
rnacentral:rRNA from 1 species